GAUGAACGCUAGCGGGAGGCCUAACACAUGCAAGCCGAGCGGUAUUGUUUCUUCGGAAAUGAGAGAGCGGCGUACGGGUGCGUAACACGUGUGCAACCUGCCUUUAUCUGGGGGAUAGCCUUUCGAAAGGAAGAUUAAUACUCCAUAAUAUAUUGAACGGCAUCGUUUAAUAUUGAAAGCUCCGGCGGAUAGAGAUGGGCACGCGCAAGAUUAGCUAGUUGGUGAGGUAACGGCUCACCAAGGCGAUGAUCUUUAGGGGGCCUGAGAGGGUGAUCCCCCACACUGGUACUGAGACACGGACCAGACUCCUACGGGAGGCAGCAGUGAGGAAUAUUGGUCAAUGGGUGCAAGCCUGAACCAGCCAUCCCGCGUGAAGGACGACUGCCCUAUGGGUUGUAAACUUCUUUUGUAUAGGGAUAAACCUACCCUCGAGAGGGUAGCUGAAGGUACUAUACGAAUAAGCACCGGCUAACUCCGUGCCAGCCGCCGCAGUAAUAC
rnacentral:rRNA from 1 species